rnacentral:rRNA from 1 species
CAAUAGCGUAUAUUAAAGCUGUUGCGGUUUAAAAGCUCGUAGUUGGAUUUCUGUCAAGGACAACUGGUCCGCCCUCCGGGUGAGCACAUAGUUUGGUCUUGACAUCUUGCUGGAAGCUGUUGCUGCACUUGGCUGUGUGGCGCAGUGUUCAGCACUUUCACUUUGAGGAAAUUGGAGUGUUUCAAGCAGGCACAUGCCUUUGGACACAGUAGCAUGGAAUAAUUAGAUUGGGCUUUUGCUCCAAUUUGUCGGUUUCUGGAGCUGAGGUGAGUAUUAAUGGGGAUUGUUGGGGGCAUCCGAAUUUAGCCGUCAGAGGUGAAAUUCUUGGAUCUGCUAAAGACGGACAACUGCGAAAGCGUUUGCCCAGGAUGUUUUCAUUGA